GCCAGCAGCCAUAUCACCCUGUAACUCACAACUGGCAACCCACUGAAGCUAAGCAGGUGUGAGCCUGGUCAGUACCUGGAAGGGAGAACUCCUGGGAAAAACUAAGGUUGCUGCUGGAA
rnacentral:rRNA from 1 species